GUCAACCGUCCCGGCGGUCCCGGUCAUGGGCAGUUCACAUCCAUCCAUUGACCUACCUUUAAAUCGUCGGUCCACCGCCCACCGUGCAGCAGGAUUUUCUUUAUAUUAUCACAAAAUGGACCGGUUCCCCUGCCACAAUUUGGUCCAAUCCCUCCGUCACCUUAUCCUGGCUGGAAUUCUCCGGGACCAAGACCUCGCCCUUGGCGCCCUGGCAAUCGUCGACCAAGACCAUUUCGUCCUAACAACCGGCGACCAUGGCUUAAACGGCGACCAGGACAGAUGCGACCCCAACCAGGACCAAAUAACUAUUAUGGGCAACCUCCCUAUGGCUAUGGGUUGUCGCAAUCAUUAUUGUAAUGUGACUAGUUUUCAUCAGCGGUUUCUCCCGCGUCCCUGGGGACUACUUUAUGCAUCUGGAUAAAAAGUAGCUUUCUUCAAUAGAUGGGCUAACAUACCUAUAUUAUAUUUUCAUAUCAGCCCGUAGUUUUUGAUUAACUCGUUCAAAUAAACAAAUUCUUCAGAUUUUUAUAAUAAUUAUACCUAAGUGUAGAUGUGCUGAACCUAACAUGGAUUAUUUUUUGUGUGCUUUUGUAAUGAAAUAAAUAUUUAAGUACCUAAGAACUUAAAAA